GACGAACGCUGGCGGCGUGCCUAAUACAUGCAAGUCGAGCGCUGAAGGUUGGUACUUGUUCCCACUGGAUGAGCAGCGAACGGGUGAGUAACGCGUGGGCAAUCUGCCUUUGAGCGGGGGAUAACCUUUGGAAACGAAUGCUAAUACCGCAUAAAACCUUUAAACACAAGUUUUAAGUUUGAAAGAUGCAAUUGCAUCACUCAAAGAUGAUCCCGCGUUGUAUUAGCUAGUUGGUGAGGUAAAGGCUCACCAAGGCGAUGAUACAUAGCCGACCUGAGAGGGUGAUCGGCCGCAAUGGGACGGAGACACGGCCCAAACGCCUUCAGGAGGCAGCCGUAGGGAAACGUCGGCAAGAGGCGGGAGUCUGAGCGAGAAACGCCGAGGGAGGGAAGAGGGUUUUCGGGUCGUAAAAGUCUGUUGGUGGGGAAGAACGUUGGUGAGGGUGGAAAGCUCAGAAAGUGACGGUAACUGCACAGAAAGGGACGGCUAACUACGUG
rnacentral:rRNA from 1 species